UGGAUCACCUCCUAACAGGGAUACAAUACGCGAUUGUGAUGUCUGAGUAAUUUAUUCUCAGACCAUAAUCCUGUCAUCUCUAAGGUCGAUCGGUACCUCAAUGGAGACAUUAGAAAGCAAACAAGUCGUAAGGUGAGUGAGCUUGUCUAAUUUAUCUUUUCAGUUCCUAAACUUUGUCUAGGUCACCCCAACAACGGGUAAACGAGCUCCUGGGCCAUUAGCUCAGGUGGUUAGAGCGCACCCCUGAUAAGGGUGAGGUCCCUGGUUCAAGUCCAGGAUGGCCCAUUCGUGUUUGGGGGUUUAGCUCAGUUGGUAGAGCGCCUGCUUUGCAAGCAGGAUGUCAGCGGUUCGAGUCCGCUAACCUCCAUCCAACGCUGACCCUUGAUUGCGAAAGUUCCACAGGAGAACCAGCAAGGGUGAACUAGACGGUACAAGCUGAGCGAAACAGACUCCAGCCUCAUUGUAUGCCAACCUAUUAACGUUCGUCCUUUAUGGAUUAAGGUUAAUCAGGGCGGUUACAGUGAUGCUGGACUCAGCACUUUCUGGCAACAGGAAGUGAUGACGUUCAAGCAAGAACCUUGACAACUGCAUAGGUGAAGUCUGGAAAUAAAGCAUCUCAUGGAUGCUUGAUUCUAGCGUUUUAGUCAGAGACGACUGAGUAAUCGGUAAUCUUCGGCUAAGGCAAAAGAAUCAAGAAAAUUCUUGAGUUUAGAGCCGAGAGCUUCCAGUGUUCUUAGCCACCGCCGAGGUGUGCUGAGUUUGAUCCUUGAUUCAAACCGUUACUAUCAGUGAAUGCUGAAGGUAAAUGGUGAAUCAUGAGAGAAUAGGUUUCAACAACCUGAAGCAUUGG
rnacentral:tRNA from 1 species